CCUACGGGAGGCAGCAGUGAGGAAUAUUGGUCAAUGGGCGAGAGCCUGAACCAGCCAAGUCGCGUGAGGGAGUACUGCCCUAUGGGUUGUAAACCUCUUUUGUCGGGGAGCAAAAGCCGGACGUGUCCGGCUGUGAGAGUACCCGAAGAAAAAGCAUCGGCUAACUCCGUGCCAGCAGCCGCGGUAAUACGGAGGAUGCGAGCGUUAUCCGGGUUUAUUGGGUUUAAAGGGUGCGCAGGCGGAUUUUUAAGUCAGCGGUAAAAUCGUGGGGCUCAACCCCAUCCAGCCGUUGAAACUGGGGAUCUAGAGUGUGCGAGAGGUAUGCGGAAUGCGUGGUGUAGCGGUGAAAUGCAUAGAUAUCACGCAGAACCCCGAUUGCGAAGGCAGCAUACCGGUGCACAACUGACGCUCAGGCACGAAAGCGUGGGUAUCGAACAGGAUUAGAUACCCUUGUAGUC
rnacentral:rRNA from 1 species